UGGGGAAUAUUGGACAAUGGGGGCAACCCUGAUCCAGCCAUGCCGCGUGAGUGAUGAAGGCCUUCGGGUUGUAAAGCUCUUUUGGCGGGGACGAUGAUGACGGUACCCGCAGAAUAAGCCCCGGCUAACUUCGUGCCAGCAGCCGCGGUAAGACGAAGGGGGCUAGCGUUGUUCGGAAUUACUGGGCGUAAAGCGAGUGUAGGCGGUUGCCGUAGUCAGGUGUGAAAGCCUUGAGCUCAACUCAAGAAAUGCACUUGAUACUGGGUGACUAGAGGACCGGAGAGGAUAGUGGAAUUCCCAGUGUAGUGGUGAAAUACGUAGAGAUUGGGAAGAACACCAGUGGCGAAGGCGGCUAUCUGGACGGUUACUGACGCUAAGACUCGAAAGCGUGGGGAGCAAACAGGAUUAGAUACCCUGGUAGUCCACGCCGUAAACGAUGGGUGCUAGACGUUGGCGAGCUUGCUCGUCAGUGUCGCAGCUAACGCGUUAAGCACCCCGCCUGGGGAGUACGGCCGCAAGGUUGAAACUUAAAUGAAUUGAC
rnacentral:rRNA from 1 species